AGGUGUGAUCAUACCAACACUAAUGCACCGGAUCCCAUCAGAACUCCGCAGUUAAGCGUGCUUGGGCGAGAGUAGUUCGAGGAUGGGUGACCUCCUGGGAAGUCCUGGUGUUGCACCUC
rfam:Lupinus angustifolius cultivar Tanjil contig_22478, whole genome shotgun sequence.